ensembl:lncRNA
GCCCUGCCUCUCCGGGCCCAGAUUCCCCUGCGGCCGACUCCGGAGGGGGAAAUGCCCUUGUGUACUUAUCCGGGACGUCGUGUUUCUUUCUUGGGACUGUUGUCUGGGUCUGCACGUAGGGCCUGUCCUUGCCAGCGAUCAGACCUUCCGACCCCACCAGGGUCAGAGCUGCCUGGGCCUGAGGGGGCCCUGCCCUGAGGAGGACGCCGAGGCUUUGAGCAGGUAGCCAGGGGAACCAGGGCCUCGGAGUCUGGACGCUAAGGUCCUUGAGAGAGACUGGGAAGGGCCUUGCUGGCUUAUGGCGGGGAACUGGAGGGUGGAAGUCGAGGAAGGGGCUGGGAGAGGAGGAGCCAGCCCUCAGGCUGGGCUGGGUGUAGAGGACCGGAGACUCAGAGCAGUCAGAGAGAAGCCGAGCCUGGUGAUGUGAAAAGAGUAG